rnacentral:rRNA from 1 species
UACAGAGGUCUCAAGCGUUGUUCGGAUUCAUUGGGCGUAAAGGGUGCGUAGGUGGCGCGGUAAGUCGGGUGUGAAAUCUCGGAGCUUAACUCCGAAAUUGCAUUCGAUACUGCCGUGCUCGAGGACUGGAGAGGAGACUGGAAUUCAUGGUGUAGCAGUGAAAUGCGUAGAGAUCAUGAGGAAGACCAGUGGCGAAGGCGGGUCUCUGGACAGUUCCUGACACUGAGGCACGAAGGCCAGGAGGACGAAACGGG